rnacentral:rRNA from 1 species
GAUUGAACUUAAGAGUUUGAUCCUGGCUCAGAUUGAACGCUGGCGGCAUGCUUUACACAUGCAAGUCGAACGGCAGCGGGGGCUUCGGCCUGCCGGCGAGUGGCGAACGGGUGAGUAAUGCAUCGGAACGUGCCCAUGUCGUGGGGGAUAACGUAGCGAAAGCUACGCUAAUACCGCAUACGCCC